GUGAUAAUAAUUUAGAAAAAUAAUGAUUUAGAAGAUUAUAAAAAAUAUAUAWUAAAAAAUAAAUUUAUUUUUAUUAUU
rnacentral:tRNA from 1 species